rnacentral:rRNA from 1 species
AGGAAGGCAGACCCAGGGAACUGAAACAUCUAAGUACCUGGAGGAAGAGAAAGAAAAAUCGAUUUCCUGAGUAGCGGCGAGCGAAACGGAAAGAGCCCAAACCAAGAAGCUUGCUUCUUGGGGUUGUAGGACACUCUAUACGGAGUUACAAAAGAAAGUUAUAAAUGAAGCGGUCUGGAAAGGCCCGCCAAAGACGGUAACAGCCCGGUAGUUGAAAUGGCUUUCCCUCCAGAGUGGAUCCUGAGUACGGCGGAACACGUGAAAUUCCGUCGGAAUCCGGGAGGACCAUCUCCCAAGGCUAAAUACUCCCUAGUGACCGAUAGUGAACCAGUACCGUGAGGGAAAGGUGAAAAGCACCCCGGAAGGGGAGUGAAACAGUUCCUGAAACCGUGUGCCUACAAGUAGUUAGAGCCCGUUAAUGGGUGAUAGCGUGCCUUUUGUAGAAUGAACCGGCGAGUUACGAUUUGUUGCAAGGUUAAGCGGAAAAAGCGGAGCCGUAGCGAAAGCGAGUCUGAAUAGGGCGCAUAAGUAACAGGUCGUAGACCCGAAACCAGGUGAUCUACCCAUGUCCAGGAUGAAGGUAAGGUAAUACUUACUGGAGGUCCGAACCCACGCACGUUGAAAAGUGCGGGGAUGAGGUGUGGGUAGCGGAGAAAUUCCAAUCGAACUUGGAGAUAGCUGGUUCUCUCCGAAAUAGCUUUAGGGCUAGCCUCGAGGUAAAGAGUCAUGGAGGUAGAGCACUGUUUGGACUAGGGGCCCUUCUCGGGUUACCGAAUUCAGAUAAACUCCGAAUGCCAUGUACUUAUACUCGGGAGUCAGACUGCGAGUGAUAAGAUCCGUAGUCGAAAGGGAAACAGCCCAGACCACCAGUUAAGGUCCCCAAAUAUAUGUUAAGUGGAAAAGGAUGUGGGGUUGCUUAGACAACCAGGAUGUUGGCUUAGAAGCAGCCACCAUUGAAAGAGUGCGUAAUAGCUCACUGGUCGAGUGACCCCGCGCCGAAAAUGUACCGGGGCUAAACAUAUUACCGAAACUGUGGAUGAACCUCUUUAGAGGUUCGUGGUAGGAGAGCGUUCUAAGGGCGGUGAAGUCAGACCGGAAGGACUGGUGGAGCGCUUAGAAGUGAGAAUGCCGGUAUGAGUAGCGAAAGAAGGGUGAGAAUCCCUUCCACCGAAUAUCUAAGGUUUCCUGAGGAAGGCUCGUCCGCUCAGGGUUAGUCGGGACCUAAGCCGAGGCCGAUAGGCGUAGGCGAUGGACAACAGGUAGAGAUUCCUGUACCAGUGCUAAUUGUUUAACCGAUGGGGUGACACAGAAGGAUAGGGAAUCGCACGAAUGGAAAUGUGCGUCCAAGCAGUGAGUGUGAGAAGUAG